GCCCGCACAAGCGGUGGAGCAUGUGGUUUAAUUCGAUGCAACGCGAAGAACCUUACCUACUCUUGACAUCCAGAGAACUUUCCAGAGAUGGAUUGGUGCCUUCGGGAACUCUGAGACAGGUGCUGCAUGGCUGUCGUCAGCUCGUGUUGUGAAAUGUUGGGUUAAGUCCCGCAACGAGCGCAACCCUUAUCCUUGUUUGCCAGCGAGUAAUGUCGGGAACUCCAGGGAGACUGCCGGUGAUAAACCGGAGGAAGGUGGGGACGACGUCAAGUCAUCAUGGCCCUUACGAGUAGGGCUACACACGUGCUACAAUGGCGCAUACAGAGGGCAGCAAGCUAGCGAUAGUGAGCGAAUCCCAAAAAGUGCGUCGUAGUCCGGAUUGGAGUCUGCAACUCGACUCCAUGAAGUCGGAAUCGCUAGUAAUCGUGGAUCAGAAUGCCACGGUGAAUACGUUCCCGGGCCUUGUACACACCGCCCGUCACACCAUGGGAGUGGGCUGCA
rnacentral:rRNA from 1 species